GGAGGGGUCGCAUAGUCUGGCCUAGUGCACACGCUUGGAGAGCGUGAGUCCUUCACGGGACCGAGAGUUCGAAUCUCUCCCCCUCCGCCA
rnacentral:tRNA from 1 species